rnacentral:rRNA from 1 species
GUGAGGAAUAUUGCGCAAUGGAGGCAACUCUGACGCAGCCAUGCCGCGUGCAGGAAGAAGGCGCUACGCGUUGUAAACUGCUUUUAACCGGGAAGAAACCCCAGGACGUGUCCUGGGUUGACGGUACCGGAGGAAUAAGCACCGGCUAACUUCGUGCCAGCAGCCGCGGUAAUACGAAGGGUGCAAGCGUUAUCCGGAUUCAUUGGGUUUAAAGGGUGCGUAGGCGGAGCGUUAAGUCAGUGGUGAAAUCCUGCAGCUUAACUGUAGACUUGCCAUUGAUACUGGCGCUCUUGAGUGCGCUUGAAGUGGGCGGAAUGUGCCGUGUAGCGGUGAAAUUCUUAGAUAUGGCACAGAACACCAAUUGCGAAGGCAGCUCACUAAGGCGAUACUGACGCUGAGGCACGAAAGCGUGGGGAUCGAACAGGAUUAGAAACCCGGGUAGUCC